rnacentral:snoRNA from 1 species
UUCUCAGGAAAGCUGUAGCUUGGAAUAGAAAUGGCCUGCCCAAGAUGCCCUUGGGAGAAAGGAAUGCUCAUCUCCUUUUGCCCUCCUUUGGCAGCCUACGUAG